rnacentral:lncRNA from 1 species
GGGACUGAACUCAGGACCUUGCAUUUGCCAGGCAGGCAUGGUGCCAGUGAGUUACAUCCCCAGUCCUCAAUUCUUUUUUUUAUACCCCCCUUCCCUCUCUUUCUUUCCCUUCCCUCUAUUUCUCAUCCCUUUCAUCCAUUUGAUAAAGAUUUCCUUACUUUCUAUUUAUCUAUCUUCUAUUUUGCUCUCUCUUUCUCUCUCUGUGUGUGUGUGUGUGUGCAUUGAAUUUCUUAUCUAAGAAUAUUUAGAUAGUUAUAUGCAAUAUAAUUGCAUUUUAAAUUUUUUGUGGUGUGGUCUACAGGCAUUGACCAGACUGCCAAACAAACUCAAAAGCCCAAAAAGGGUUAAGGAGACUAACUUUUUAGUGGUGGAAUUUAUGGAACUAUGUAGGAGGGAUUUUGCUACAGGAUUUAUACACAUUGUCUCACUUUAUCCUCCAUACCAUUCUGUAUGGUUAGGAUUAAUGUCCCAAGGUCAUGCUGAUAUAAUCCAUGCUCUUAACCAUUAUGCAAUCCAGCCUUCCCAGGGCAGAGAUGGGACAGGAAUUAUCCUCUGGAUAUUAGACCAUGAUAGAUACCCUGGGGGCAUGUUCAACGAUAAAGCCAUCCUAUUUAGAAGCAUGGAAAUUGAAUGGCUGCUUUCUGCUCUAAGAGAUCGUAUUUAUGUAUAAAUAAAUGUAAUUAUUUAUGAGUCUCUGUUUCCCCUAACUCUGAACUGGGUACCUAUUCCUUCACCUAAAUCCCACUUUCCUCCCAUGGCCAGAACCCUAGGGAGGUUCACUAACUUCUGGAACAUUUUCUGGUGCCCUCCUAAAUACUUUCUGUUGCUUUUACUCUCUAUUGCUGUUACGUACAAAUGUACAUUACUCAUUGUAUGCUUUCUAGGACCAAAUUCUAGUCAUAUGCCUAUUUUGGUAAAGUUGGAUUUUAUCACCUUGAUACUCUAAUGUUUCAGAAUGGCUGAACCUAGUCACUGAAGAUCUUUUCUUCAGUUUUUUCAGAGACUUUGGCAAGCACAGAGGUGACUUUGAUAGCUUACAAUCUCUACGUCUCAUAAAUACAGGUAAGUGGUAGCCGCCAAAGACUGGGGAGAAAAGAACUGAGUGUUGUAAAGGAGACCCAUUAUUUCCACAGUUUAAGAGCAGGGGAAAGUAGGAUCCAUUUUUCAUCCUAUUGAAAAAUUAGCUUCAUCUCAACAAUAGUUUUAAUCUAGAAACGUCCAUGGCUUCAUAUUAGAAAGUAUUAUUAAGCAAGCAUGGGAGGCAACAGCCCAUUUACUGAAGGGCAAGAAGCCUUUCGAAAACCUCUCUCAUUACCCCCAAGUGGCUAUGCUGCCAGAAACUGACAGGGCACCAGAUUAGAGUGUGAUCACUCACAAUAUCCAACUCCUAGGUCCAGACUACUGCCUCUGUCGCUUCGUAUGAUGUUGAACAUUAUAGUAACACUGAUAGAACAACUGUUCAUCUCUAUUUGUCCAGGACAGGAGCACUUUAUGAUUUUUGUCAUGGCAUUAUUAUGUCCUGGCAAAACUUCAAGAAUGUCUCUCUCAAGAAUGUCAUAAUUUGGGCAAUACAUAAUAUUAUGAUCACCCUGUUUAUUGGUAAUCCACUUCAGCCACUUCUUUCAAAGAAAAGGGAAUCAAAACACAGAAAAGUAAAUGACAGAUGCCAGCUCACUAGGUGAGGUGAUAGUGCUAACUAACCUUUCCCCAGAGAGUCAUCCAUACUGUACUAAUAUCUCAAUUCACUGUUAUCUUCACGAUUACAGAUAUUUUGCUAACAUUACAUGUGUUUCCUCUAUACAGGCUGGAUUUUCCCCCUAUGGAAGUAUAAUUUACAUAUAACAAAGUAUGCAGAUCAUAAGUGUUUAGUUCCAUGAAUUUUAGCACUCCAAACAACAUAUAAAACAUUCCCAUCCAUCCUGAAAUUUCCACUGGGUCCCCUUCAGUUGGUUCUCCUACCUCAGAGGAAAAAUACAUUGAGAUUUUCAGACCCAUGGACUAUUUUGCCUAUUCUUGUGCUUCAUAAAAGAAAACAAAGUAAUCAUGCAGCUAAUGGGACGAAGAGGAAAAGGGUAAUCAUAGUAACAUAUACCUGUAAGAUUCUCCACGAGAAAAGACUGCCAAAGCCUUAUACCAGCUGGGAAUUUAUCCCAGGCCCACCUCCAAUAGCUUUCCUGACUCACCUAAAAGGGGAAAAAGUGCAACAGAUAAGGGUAGAGGUUCAAAGAAAAUAUUUUGGGAGUGCUACAACCAGAGAACAGAGUAGGAGCUAGAGGGAGAAAGAAAAAGAAAUACCACUGAAGAAACAUUUGUGAAGGUUACAUCCCCGAGACACAUGUCCACUGAAAAGCUCAGAUUUAGAUUAAGAAAUAUUCCCCUGGUGCCCUACUACCACACCAAGAAUUCCCGCAAGAUAAGAGAGUUUAAAACUGAAAGAGGCACAGGCCCUGAACUCUGUGCAGAGUACUCAGGGAAGCCCAAAGUCAAGAGGACACUAAAACGAGGAUGCUAGAAGAAGAGGAAGCUUCUGACACUGUAAAUAUUAAACCCAGCCCAAGGACUAGGUAGAUUAAUGCAAAUCCUCACACUGAGGCCUAUUUACCUCAGCCCCUAUAAUCCAAGGCAAUAUAUCUGGCUUUCAAGAAAGAAGAAGGCCAAAUAGAAUGAAAGACAACCCGAGUCUGAAGAGACAAGCGAGCUUUAGGGCCACACUCAAAACACAGAUGUCAAAACAUCGGAUGGAGAAUUGCAAAGAAAGAAAAGAAAACAACAUGCUACAACAAAUGGAAAACUCAUAGAGAUGAAAGCUGAGAAAGAAUCAAAAGGAAAUAGUGGAGCAGAAUAAUGGUUACCAGGGGUGGAGGCUGAGGUUGAGAUCGGUGAGAUACUGGUCAAAGUAUAUAAAAUUUCAGUUAAAUAAGAAGAGUAAGUUCAAGAGAUCUAUAUCUAUUGUACAACAUGGUGACUGUAGUUUAUAAUAAUGUAUUAUAUUAUUAAAAAUCACUAAGAAAAUCCCCAGUAUCAAAAAAUAUUCUCACCACAAAAAAUGAGGUAUUACAUAUUUCAAUUAGCAGACUUUAGCAAUGACACAAUAUAUACCUAUUUUUUAGUUUUUAAAUUACAAUUAGUAGCACAGGCAGUAUUAACUGGAAAAUGUAAUGGGUUUCUUUGUGACAUUGUCAUACUUGCAUAUUACAUUAUUUGGUCAUACCCAUCCUCUCUUGAUCCUCCUGGCCCUUUUCCUAUUACCAACUAGUCUCCCUUCUACUUUCAUGUCUUUUCUUCCCCCUAGAUUCCACAUAUGAGAAAACCCAUGUGAUCCAUGCCUUUCUGAGUCUGUUCUUAGUUACUUUUCUCUCAUUGUUAAGACAAAAUACCGGCAUCCAAAGUUAGAGGGGAAAAGGUUUUAUUUAGCUCACAAUUUGUAGCAGUUUCAGUCCAUAAUCGGCUGGCUCCAAGGCAGGGUGGCACAUGGCAGAGGAGCAACAGUUCAUGGCAGCAAAGACUGCAAAAGCAAGUAAGCAAUGGAACUUAACAGUGUCUUUCUGUCCUUUUAUCUUGCCCAGACUACAUAGGGCAGGUAGCACUCACAUCCUUAAUCAUAGUGCUCUUGAGCCUAGGAUUGCACCAUGAAUCAAUCACACACUUUAAAUUCGGCCACCUCUGAAAAAAUCCCACCUAAGAGGCUUUGGUGGGACAUCUAGAUACAAGCCAUAGCACAUGAUGAUCUCCAGUACCAUUCAUUUGCCUGCAAAUGAUAUGAUUUUGUUCUUCUUUGUGGGUGGGUAAUACUCCAUUGUAUAUAUUUACCACGUCUUUAUUCAUUCAUCCUUUUAUAGGCAGAUAUCCUGAUUCCAUAAUUUGGCAAUUGUGAAUAGCACCAUAAUAAACAUGGGUGUCACAUGAUCCUCACCAUAAGCCAAGCAGAUGCCAGCACCCUGUUCUUGGACUUCUAGAACUCGUUAACUUGAAAAGGGUAUAAUUGAUCAAGCCUAAAUCCCUUACAUCACCCAGGACCGUGUGAGAGGCUCAUACCCAGCAAGCCACUUGAGUUGGCCCAGGCAGACAGCAGUUGUCUUCAGCAUCUAACACCCAUGGGCCCAACAGCUUCAAAGCAAGUACACGUUUGACAUCCUUUGGUUAAGACUGUGGGGAAAACAUUGGCUCAUGGAAUAUAGAUGCUCAGCUGGCUCAUUUGGGUUUUGUGGUCCAGUUUGCGGAUGAGAUAUUUACAAAACCCGGUGAUUACAAUGCUGUCUCAUUAACAUUCGUUAAAUGAAAACCACAAAGUACAGGAUAGAAACACUAGCCUGAGAGGAGGGAGGAAGAUGAACAGGGAGACUGGCUUUCCUACCUCAGCAAAGGCAAAAAGAGACCAGGUGUAGUAGACUCUUGUUACUUCCUUUAAUUUAGACUUUCUCCUUACUGAAUGAGAAAGGGGUGGGAGAAGAAGGAGCAUAGCAUUUCUACUUGUCAGUUUUGUCUGAUUCCUAAGUAAAUCAAAUCUAAGUCAAGGCCAAGUUCAUUUCCCCACCAAUUUGAAUUUUCUACUCCUUGUACUAUGUAGCCAAGGAAACAUGUCCUCCAGGAUAUCUAGCUAUACUACAGUUAUUCCAUAAGAUCUGGCGAGCUCAUGAGGCCAUGUAGAUCAGACUGUUCUAGUGUUUUCAGAACCAAGUUGCUUCUGCGAACUUCUGAUUUCUGUCCCUGUUCCUAUGGGGAGGAGUUGGCUUCACGGAGAGAAUCAAAGCUAUACAGUCAGAAUCACUGGGCUCUGAUCCCAGUUAUGGCACAUACUGGUCCUAGAACCUUUGAUAAUAUCCACUUUGCAAGGAUAAUAUCCUAGAACCUCUGAUAAUAUACCACUUUACAGUGGUAGAGGCAGAGGAUAUUAUGUAAAUUACACAGAACCUAGCUAAUGAAUAAGGAAUCAAUGAAAGCAGCUAGUUAUUGUUAUUUUAUUGAUAUUGCUGACUUUUCUAGUCAAUCUCAAACUCACAUGUGAUUUAGACAAUGCAUUCUAUGUAGAACCAGCAAUAGGACUGUCCACACAGUAGGCAUUCUGUAAAGACUGAAUGCUACUAUAUCCAGAAAAAGAAUAUUUGAAAGUUAGGCUCCAUCUUUGAUGACUAAUCAAAUCUAGUGAUCAUGGCUAUAAUGUAUGCAUCAACUUUCCUUGAGGACUGCAAAUUUUUCGAGUGGCUCUUCCUUGUAAAUUAUAGAAAAAUCUGUAUCUCAGCAUUCUUUCUUUAUAACGCCCUACCCUACCCAAGUCCCUAUCACAGGCAGAUGCAUGCAUGCACAUAUGCACUAUGCAUACACACACAGAUUUUUUUCCAAGGGUCCUUACAGUCACUGAACAUACAGUUGAAAUUCUAGAUGAAAUGUAGAGCCCCAGAGGCAAAGACUGCUGGACUUUUAUCACAAUCAACCAAAAACUAGGAUUCAUAUUUGUAUCUUUUACCCACCGUUACAAAUUUGGGGACCAGAGGCAGAGGGUCAUCGGCUAGCAAGGACUAUUGUGAUCACACUGUCUUUUAUGUUUUACCUCUACUGACCAGAGCUACUAGCACAACUAACCCUCUGUAGGCCUAAUAACUGAAGCACCAGGAUGGAGCAGAAGACUGAGUCUGCCCUCCUGUGAGCUAAACAGAGGUUGGGGUGGAUGUUACCAAGGAGAAGAGAAUUUGUCAUCACUACUCAUCUGAAAGCAACUAAAUAGGAAGAGAUGAAAUUUUCAAGAUAAUAUCAUUAGCACUAUUGGAUGGAUUCUUGUACUGGAAAGAAACAGGCAUGGCCACCCUCCGGGGCUGGGUCCCUUCCUCAGAUCCAGGAAGCCAUUCCACCAAAAGGCUGAAAGGGAGGGGAAGUGAAUAUCACUGUGCUAGGCUGGGAGCCAUGAAGGCUUUAAAACUUGGCAAUUACACCUCCCUGAUUAUGAUGAGUAGAUCAUUAUAUGAUAGAGUAGAUCAUUAUACACAGACUCACAAUUUUCUUAAAGAUAGGAAAACAAAAUCCCUAUCCUAUUCAUUAAACCCUUCCUUAAGAAGAGUUCAGAGAAGUUUUUCACUCUUCAGAUUCAAAACCUUGAAGGUCUUUGUCACCUGAUGAUUUCUUCCUCACAGCUAGAAUAUCCUUAAAUUCCAAGUUCUAUAUCCCAAACAAGAACUUGUGGCUCCUAGGUUUGCCUCUCAGUUCUACUUCAUUCAACCUAAGUGCACAGAAAAUACCACAAACAUUGAGGUGCUUGUUAUUUUACCAGCCUCUUAGCAAAGACAGGGUCCUGAAAAGAGCAAGAACAGGACCAGAAGGCCUAGAAAGAUGGAGAGCUGAGUAUGCAAGUGAAAGAUGGAUCAGAGAGGAGAGAGAAUAGCAAACCAUGGGGAGCACCAACAUCAGUGCGGGGAUCUAGAUAGCUGACAGGUCUGGAAUAGGAACAGGGACAUCAGGGUGGAAACAGCACAGAUCUAAGACAAACUUGGCCCAUAUUCAUUCAUUCAUUCAUUC